rnacentral:rRNA from 1 species
CAGUAGCCGCGGGAAUACGUAGGUGGCAAGCGUUGUCCGGAAUUAUUGGGCGUAAAGGGCUCGCAGGCGGUUUCUUAAGUCUGAUGUGAAAGCCCCCGGCUCAACCGGGGAGGGUCAUUGGAAACUGGGAAACUUGAGUGCAGAAGAGGAGAGUGGAAUUCCACGUGUAGCGGUGAAAUGCGUAGAGAUGUGGAGGAACACCAUUGGCGAAGGCGACUCUCUGGUCUGUAACUGACGCUGAGGAGCGAAAGCGUGGGGAGCGAACAGGAUUAGAUACCCGCGUAGUCCCUGUCUCUUAUAC